CUCGGCGGUGUACGUGCACACGGAGGUGAACAGGGGCGACAACUUCCCCGGGAUAUCGGCGUUGAAGAGCAUAUACGACGCCGUUCCGGCCAAGCUCAGGGACAAUCUCGACGCCUUCUAUUUCCUUCAUCCGGGCAUCCAGUCCCGCCUCUUCCUCGCCACCUUCGGCCGUCUCCUCUUCGGCGGCGCCGGCUACGCCAAGGUCAAGUAUGUUGCUAGAUUGGAGUUUCUGUGGGAGCACGUGCGCCGGAAGGGGGCGGAGAUGCCGGAGUUCGUGCACGAUUUUGACGAUGAGAUGGAGUGGCGCCCCACCACCGUCGAUUACGGCCUCGAGAGCGAUCAUCCUGCUAUAAUGCCUACCUUUGAUUCUACGGUUUCUACCUAUUCUAUGAGGUGUAUUGCCUAGAUUUCUACACUUUUUUUCUGUUUUUUUGGUUU
rnacentral:lncRNA from 1 species